UACGUAGGGGGCAAGCGUUGUCCGGAAUCAUUGGGCGUAAAGAGCGUGUAGGCGGCCAGAUAAGUCCGCUGUGAAAUCUCGAGGCUCAACUUCGAGCUGUCGGUGGAAACUGUCUGGCUAGAGUCCGGAAGAGGAGAAUGGAAUUCCUGGUGUAGCGGUGAAAUGCGCAGAUAUCAGGAAGAACACCCGUGGCGAAGGCGGUUCUCUGGGACGGUACUGACGCUGAGAUGCGAAAGCGUGGGGAGCGAACAGG
rnacentral:rRNA from 1 species